GCAGAUAAAGAGAAGAGAGAAGGUAACAGCAUGAAGAAGACAUCUCCACGUCUCAACAUAGAGAGGAAGUCUUCAAUAGAGGAUGAGCCUCGCACUCUCAGGCUUGAUCAGUUCCAAUAUGCAAGGGGUGGAGAACUGGAUCUUGUUGUACUUAAUAUCUCCUAGGGGCUUGUUUCUUUCAUCUUUGGUGAAUGAAACGAGGAGGAAGCAUUAUGUGUGCUAAGCACCAAAACCAUAGAAGAGGCUCUUAAAAUAUUCACAGAUGGUCUGAAGCCAGUGCUCAGCAUAAGGGACAACAAGGAUUUGGAUGCUGAUGCUGAAAUGUUGGAUUGCGCAGAAAUGGAGCAUCUAAACCUCCCCUUGCUAAAGAGAGAAACAGUUUCCUCCCCUUUUUAGCUAGUCUUUGCGCAUAUGAUUGGUCCAAAUUUUCCUUUGAUCUCCUUAAUUUCUUAUUUUUCUAAGUUUUUUUUUUGAAAAUUUAAAUUUUUAUAUAAAGCAGGCAUGUUGAGUGGUGGUGGAAUAGCUUAUGUAGCUAUCCUCCAUAUGGGGCUCUUGAAGAACUACUCGGACUAUUUGAUCUUAUUUUCUUUUAGUUUUGUCACUUGUACAAACCUAAGAAGCUUCUGUACGGGAUGUUGUUAAAAGAAUUUCUAAUGAUGUCUACUAUAUGUUUUCCCAGCUAUGGUGCUGAAUAAGGACCUAGAAUUUUUGGCA